GCCUGGCUGGCUCAGUCAGUUAAGCGCCUGUCUUCGGCUCAGGUCAUGAUCCCGGGGUCCUGGGAUCGAGUCCCAAGUCAGGCC
rnacentral:tRNA from 1 species